rnacentral:rRNA from 1 species
UACGGGGGGGGCAAGCGUUGUUCGGAAUUACUGGGCGUAAAGGGCUCGUAGGCGGCCAACUAAGUCAGACGUGAAAUCCCUCGGCUUAACCGGGGAACUGCAUCUGAUACUGGAUGGCUUGAGUUUGGGAGAGGGAUGCGGAAUUCCAGGUGUAGCGGUGAAAUGCGUAGAUAUCUGGAGGAACACCGGUGGCGAAGGCGGCAUCCUGGACCGGCAUUGACGCUGAGGAGCGAAAGCCAGGGGAGCAAACGGG